rnacentral:rRNA from 1 species
UCGGCAACGGAUAUCUCGGCUCUUACAUCGAUGAAGAACGUAGCAAAAUGCGAUACUUGGUGUGAAUUGCAGAAUCCCGUGAACCAUCGAGUCUUUGAACGCAAGUUGCGCCCGAAUCCUUUUGGUUGAGGGCACGUCUGCCUGGGUGUCACGUACACACGCCUCCCCUCAAACCCUUCCCCCUCGGGGACGAAGGGCGCGUUGGGCGAGCAGAGAUUGGUAUCCCGUGCCA